rnacentral:piRNA from 1 species
CGCUAGAGCCUGGCAAUGAGUCUCCAUUU